UACGGAGGGAGCUAGCGUUAUUCGGAAUUACUGGGCGUAAAGCGCACGUAGGCGGCUUUUUAAGUCAGGGGUGAAAUCCUGGAGCUCAACUCCAGAACUGCCUUUGAUACUGGGAAGCUUGAGUCCGGGAGAGGUGAGUGGAAUUCCGAGUGUAGAGGUGAAAUUCGUAGAUAUUCGGAAGAACACCAGUGGCGAAGGCGGCUCACUGGAGCUGGUAUUGACGCUGAGGUGCGAAAGCGUGGGGAGCAAACAGG
rnacentral:rRNA from 1 species